rnacentral:lncRNA from 1 species
GCGAGCUCCGUGGUCCGGCUGGAGGCAGUUGUGCCGCCCUCGAGUGGGCUGAAUGGAGGACGACGGGUCCCCGGAGCUGGGGGGCCCUCAGGCCAAUCAGGAGCGCCUCUCCAGAUACAAAGCAUCCCAAGCAGGCGGCGGCCCCGUUCCCACAUUCUUUGCCGUCACAAAUUGUCACCAUGGGGACCAUCACAAAAAAGACAGCUCCCAAAUGCAAUCAUUUCCCGGUCCAAGAUUGAGGAGGGGCUGGACCCAGAGAAGAUGGGCUUGCAAACCUACCCCCAAGACUCCGGGCCUGCAGCUGCCAUGCUCCAGUGCAGACAGACAAUCGGACGGGAUGGUCAUCGGACGCCUAUUGUUCACUUCCAUCCCCAUUGGUCACUUCCUUCCCCAUGCAGACAUCACUAAUAGAUCACAACACCCUCUCCUGCUGACCCCUGCAGUGGCGCUGUACCUUUCAGCAGCCUCGACUAAACAAAUAAGGUAA